AUGAGUGUGUAUGAGGAGAGAGAGCAGGAGGCUCCUGAUCACACUCAGAGAGCAGCAUCUCCAGGAUUCAGCUGUGUGUCUAUGAAGAGUAACAACUCCAUGAUUCUGCCCCCUGAACUCAGUGGUUUUCACACCAAUAGAACAGCAUCUCCAGGAUUCAGCUGUGUAUCUAUGAAGAGUAACAACUCCAUGAUUCUGCCCCCUGAACUCAGUGGUUUUCACACCAAUAGAACAGCAUCUCCAGGAUUCAGCUGUGUAUCUAUGAAGAGUAACAACUCCAUGAUUCUGCCCCCUGAACUCAGUGGUUUUCACACCAAUAGAACAGCAUCUCCAGGAUUCAGCUGUGUGUCUAUGAAGAGUAACAACUCCAUGCAUCUGCCCCCUGAAUUCAGUGAUGUUCACACCUCUGACUCUGUCAUCAUCAGCAGGAAGAGAAAGAGAGCAGCUUCUCCACUGCAGCCCCCUGAUCUCAGUGAUGGAUCAGUGCCCUUUGAUCCUGUUGGUAGGAAAGCUGACCAGAUCAGAUAUGUGUCCUGUCAGACCUUCACAUCCUCCUACUGUCAGAACCAAAUCAAUCAUCAUGACACAGAAGCAGCUCUACAUCCCUAUUCUCAACCACCAGUGCAUAAUAAUCUGCAGAGAGUCAAAGACCAGCACAAAACCAGCAUGAAGAACAAGUAAGGAGCUUAUUUGAGGGAGUCAGACUACAAGAGAAUCAAACCCUCCUGAACAGGAUUUACACACAGCUGUACAUCAUAGAGGGAGAGAGUGAAGGAGUGAAUGAAGAACAUGAAGUGCUACUGAUAGAGAAAAGUUACAGGACACUCCAAGACACUCCAAUCAACUGCAAUGACAUCUUUAAUCCUUUACCGGAACCAGGAUAUGAGGAGAAGAGAAGAGAGCAGAAAGACAAAAUAAAGACUGUUCUUACUAAAGGAAUUGCUGGAAUUGGAAAAACAGUCUCUGUGCAGAAGUUCAUUCUGGACUGGGCCGAGGGAAAAG
rnacentral:lncRNA from 1 species